UCCACUGCGAUUCACAUCUCAUCACUUCUUCUUCUUCUUCUUGCCUGCUAAGCUCUCUCGCGUUCUUGCCUUCUUCUUGUGAGCGAUGGCGAGCCUCACCGAUCUCGUUAACCUCAACCUCAGCGACUGCACAGACAAGAUCAUCGCCGAGUACAUCUGGUUGGCCUCCCUCUGCUCUUGCUCCUGAAAUGUUCCAAGAUCGUGUUUGCAUAUAUCCUGAAUUGUACUACCAUUCCCUCUAAUUCUUCUGUCCAAGUCUGAAUAUAUCUGAUGUAAUCUCCUCCGUGCAGGGUUGGAGGCUCCGGCAUAGACCUCAGGAGCAAAGCAAGGGUGCGUAGUUUUGUUCACGUCAUGCCUUUCGGAAUCAUUACUAUGAUAUGUUUCUCACCGUUGUGUUGCUGGAGCAGACGGUGAAAGGCCCCAUCACCAGUGCGAGCCAGCUCCCAAAAUGGAACUACGACGGCUCCAGCACCGGGCAGGCUCCCGGAGAGGACAGCGAAGUCAUCCUCUAGUAUGAUCCCCAUCUCCUUGCUGCCUCUGCUCUUUUUUUUUUAACUUGCAUAGAACCUUGUUAUUUUGUUGCUUAUGCGGUUGCUCCUUUUUUGUUUCACUCUGAAGCCCUCAAGCCAUUUUCAAGGACCCAUUCAGGAGGGGUGACAACAUCCUUGUAAGCCUUUGCUUCUCUUCUUGUUUUACGUUUCACUUAGAAGUCAUAGACACGACCAGAAAGUAAAAAAGGAGGAAGGAAAAAAGGAACCAAAAGGCCAUUCUCGAAUAAUUAUAACAGUUUUAUGUUCUGGUGCUAACCUUGUAUUUCUUUUUAAACAAUAAAUAUAAAAAUAUCAAAGUAAAAGUAUUUUUAGGUUGAAACAUGUGGGUAAAAGUGUUCUGUUUUUCUUUUUUGACAAGCAAGCUAUAUGGUUGGUUUGCUGUGUUUCUUAUUCAAACUACUCUAUAUAGGUGAUGUGCGACUGCUACACGCCACAAGGCGAGCCAAUCCCCACGAACAAGAGGUACCAUGCUGCCAAGGUCUUCAGCCACCCGGAUGUUGCAGCUGAGGUGCCAUGGUAUGAAUAUUGACCGAAUCUAAUUCAGUAUUUCCCAAUCAGUAUUUUGUUGUAUUGUAUCAGAAGAAAAAGGUAAAAGUAUACUAAUAUAAUGACAAGAAAUGUGAUAACCAAUGAAGUAAAUUGUUUUUAUUGUAGUACAGUUGUUUAGAACAUUUUGGUUUUGAUAUAAAUAGCAAGGAUGAAAAAAAAGUUUUAAAGGACCAUCAUAUUUGGAACUUUCCAACUUUCUAUCGACCUUUCUAUCUUAUCUUGUUUCUCAUCAGGACAUAUCUCUGAAUUCAAACAGGUACGGUAUUGAGCAGGAGUACACUCUCCUUCAGAAGGAUGUGAACUGGCCCAUUGGCUGGCCUGUUGGUGGAUACCCUGGUCCCCAGGUAAGGAAACUUCUUUUGAAAAUUAUCACAAUGACCCUUCAACAUUCAUAUUCUGCAAGUUUUAUAAAACAAUAUAUUUGAUGUAAGCAAUAAAAUUAGUUCUUUUUUGUUAAUCCUCGAAUUAGUUGGCAUAGUGAAACUUUUAAUAGUAAGGCUUCUGAUGACCAAUUCAACCAAAAAAGAAGCUGCCUUUGCAAGUUUCUCAACUCUUGAGUGCCUUUUCUUUUUUUUAUCAGGGACCAUACUACUGCGCUGCCGGUGCCGAUAAGGCCUUUGGGCGCGACGUCGUUGACGCCCACUACAAGGCCUGCCUCUACGCCGGCAUCAACAUCAGCGGCAUCAACGGCGAAGUCAUGCCCGGCCAGGUACAACAACCCCUGCAAGUUGCAGCCGUUGGUCGGACCAACCCCCAGCAUGGGACAUCGUGUAUCAAAGCUAUGUGAUGGAUGCGUGCUGAUUCUGAACCCGGACUAUUCCGUUUCUGACAGUGGGAGUUCCAAGUUGGGCCGUCCGUUGGGAUCUCUGCCGGCGACGAGAUAUGGGUUGCCCGCUACAUUCUCGAGGUCCGUUUCGAAGCCUCCGCUUGGGAUAAGAUCAUAAGAAUCCUGCUCUCCCAUUCUGCUCCUGACCAACUUGAUUCCUUUGUGCCUUUGGUUUGUUAUACGUUGAAAUUAACAGUGUUUUUUGUUGACUGGUUGGUUGCAGAGGAUCACCGAGAUGGCCGGAGUCGUGCUGUCCCUCGACCCGAAGCCAAUCAAGGUUCACAAAAACGUUCUUUUCACUGUUUCAGAUUCAGACAUCCUGUCAGGAAAUUACAAGAAGCUGAUGGUUCAAACUGGUGCUUGUUGUUUGCAAAUGCAGGGUGACUGGAACGGCGCCGGCGCUCACACCAACUACAGCACCAAGUCGAUGAGGGAGCCCGGGGGCUACGAGGUGAUCAAGAAGGCGAUCGAGAAGCUGGGCAAGCGGCACAAGGAGCACAUCGCGGCCUACGGCGAGGGCAACGAGCGCCGCCUCACGGGCCACCACGAGACCGCCGACAUCAACACCUUCAAAUGGGUAGGAUGAUGAUCGAAUGCCGCCAUGGCUUCCCUGCGAUUUCUGCUCGUUGCUCACCCUACCGCUGCGUGCGUGCUGCAGGGCGUGGCGAACCGCGGCGCGUCCAUCCGGGUGGGGCGCGACACGGAGAAGGAAGGCAAGGGCUACUUCGAGGACCGCAGGCCGGCCUCCAACAUGGACCCCUACGUCGUCACCGGCAUGAUCGCCGAGACCACCAUCCUGGGGAAGGGGAACUGAGACUGACAGAUGAUCGUCAACGCCUGGACACGCAUCAAAACCGUUGGUGUCAGUUGGAUUUUCCGAUUUCCGAUUCCGAUUCCGAUUCCCCGUCGACGAGGCCUUUGAUGGCCCGUCCGUUUUGGGGUUGUGCGUCCUAAACCACUUUCGCUCCCCUGUGACACUGUGUACUCUGAAUGAAAAAGUCUGAAUAAUGGCUGUAGCGGAUUUGC
rnacentral:lncRNA from 1 species